UGAGUAAAUCGGAUGAUCGCGUGCAUUUUGCAUGAGGAAAGUCCGUGCUCCAUAGGGCAGGAUGCUGGAUAACGUCCAGUAGGGGUGCCCCUAAGGCUAGUGCAACAGAAAUAUACCGCCAGUUUAUCUGGCAAGGGUGGAAAGGUGAGGUAAGAGCUCACCAGCGAUUAGGCGACUAAUCGGCUCUGUAAACCCCAUCUGGAGCAAGACCAAAAGGGAACACAAAAAGACAGUAGCCCGCUGUUGUUCCAAAGGUAGGUCGCAGGAAUCCAUUGGAAACAAUGGAUCAUAGAUAGAUGAUCAUCCUAGACAGAACACGGCUUAUAGAUUUACUCAUCAA
rnacentral:RNase_P_RNA from 1 species